GAUGAACGCUGGCGGCGUGCCUAAUACAUGCAAGUCGAGCGAACGGACGAGAAGCUUGCUUCUCGGAUGUUAGCGGCGGACGGGUGAGUAACACGUGUAUAAUCUACCUAUCAGACUGGUAUAACUUCGGGAAACCGGAGCUUACACGGGAGGAGCUCUUGAAGCGCAGGGGUCAAAAGUGAAAUACGGUCGUGCGGUCACUUAUAGAUGGAUCCCGGCUGCAUUAGCUGGUUGGUAAGGUAAUGGCUUAGCAAGGGGACGAUGCAUAGCCGACCGGAGAGAGUGAUAGGCCACACUGGAGCUGAGCCGCGGUCAUGGCUCCUACGGGAGGCAGCAGUAGGCAAUCUUCCGCAGUAGGCGAAAGCCUGACGGAGCAACGCCGCGUGAGUGACGACGGUCCUCGGAUCGUAAAACUCUGUUACUAGGGAAGAACAUCUGUGUCAGGAAAUGUGCACAUCUUGACGGUACCUAGUAAGAAAGCACCGGCUAACUACGUG
rnacentral:rRNA from 1 species